rnacentral:antisense_RNA from 1 species
CUUGAUGGUGGCUGUGCGUAGGGCGCCCUCGGGCGCGCCGGCUUUAAGUAUUCACCGGUCUACUAACCUGCGCACAGCUGCCACCCUA